rfam:Janibacter sp. Soil728 contig_4, whole genome shotgun sequence.
CACGUGCCACGUGACGCGGUGAGAUUCCGCACCGGCGGUGAGAGCCCGCGACCCGGCUGCCUCGGCAGACGGUGAACUCCGGUCCAGAACUCCGGGGCCGACGGUCAAAGUCCGGAUGAGAGCGGCGCGCG